rnacentral:rRNA from 1 species
AUUGAACGCUGGCGGCAGGCCUAACACAUGCAAGUCGAACGGUAACAGGAAGAAGCUUGCUUCUUUGCUGACGAGUGGCGGACGGGUGAGUAAUGUCUGGGAAACUGCCUGAUGGAGGGGGAUAACUACUGGAAACGGUAGCUAAUACCGCAUAACGUCGCAAGACCAAAGAGGGGGACCUUCGGGCCUCUUGCCAUCGGAUGUGCCCAGAUGGGAUUAGCUAGUAGGUGGGGUAACGGCUCACCUAGGCGACGAUCCCUAGCUGGUCUGAGAGGAUGACCAGCCACACUGGAACUGAGACACGGUCCAGACUCCUACGGGAGGCAGCAGUGGGGAAUAUUGCACAGUGGGCGCAAGCCUGAUGCAGCCAUGCCGCGUGUAUGAAGAAGGCCUUCGGGUUGUAAGUACUUUCAGCGGGGAGGAAGGGAGUAAAGUUAAUACCUUUGCUCAUUGACGUUACCCGCAGAAGAAGCACCGGCUAACUCCGUG